UUUUUUUUUUUUUUUUUUUUUUUUUAGAAAAAUCACUACUGUCGUAUUAAUAUUACUGUUUUCUUUAGAGUGGUGUAUAACUCAGCCCUACCUCAAGAGUUACUGAUGUGUACCAUUGGUCUAAAACUAUAGUAUAAAAAAUUUUGCAAACUUUAGUAUAAUUGAAACAACUUAGAAUUUUGACAUGAAAAUAGUAUGAAAUGUAUAUUGUAAAACCUCUACCCUUUAAAUGUUUUACCUCAGCACCACAAGACAGGGUGAGAAAAUAGAAAAAAAAACAAACAAAAAUACAUGUUUCACUUCUUGGUUUUUCUAACUGUGGUCAGUGUCAGCAUGAUUUUUCAUCCCUGGAAACCACAGAUCAGCCUCUGAUAGUUCUCUCUUUUGUGAGUCUCCAUUAACCUCCUUUUCCCGUUAUACCCCAGCUAGUCAACAGGACAUAAAAUAACUGUUACUUCUACCACCAGAAUGCGUCUUAUUUUUAGUCUCACUUCUGCUGUUGUCGUUUAGUAUCUCAGCAUAUCCCAUUUCUGCUAUUAGAGGUAUCUUCCCAAAACCCAUUUUGAUUGCCACCUUCUUGCUUAAUAUUAUUUUUCUUUUUAUUGCUAUAGUUGGUAGCCAUUCUUGUAUGACAUUUAUUUCGCAUUCUUCUAUGCCAUAACAUGGGUGAGCUUUAUCUCCAAAUAGAGAUGAACUUUAUCUCCUUUCAUAGUUAUCCUAUCACCACUGUUUAUGUUCUCUAAUAAUAUUACAAAUCUUUAUUUUUUUUAACAACUGGAUACUGGGUUUUUGUGUUCAAUUUUUAAAUUUUUGUUCAAUUUUUUUGAAUUUCAAUAGUUUUGGGGGUACAGGUGGUUUCUGAUUACAUUACUAACCUUUGUUACACUUAUACUCACUGCAUAUUCUUGAGGGAAGACCCCUUCAUUGUAUGUACCUAAAUGUUACCACUCUAUAGAGUAUUCCUGAUACCUUUGUGUAGCUCCAGUGAUGUUUCAUGUUUCCUUUAGAGCAUUUACCACACUGUGCCUUAAAAUAUAAUGAGUUGUAUAAUUCAUUCUCUUUCCCCACUAGAUUGUAAGCCCCUUGAUGACAUGGCUCAUGUCUUAUUUAAUUAGGAUGUUUUGAUGGUUGUCUAAUAUAAGACAGGAAAUACGCAAAUAUGCACACACACAUAUUUUCAUUUACUCAGCUUCAGUAUUUACUUUUGAGUAUAUAACACUGCUACAUUCAUUUCUAUGAGGAUAUAUAUAAUGAAUGUAUGUUCUGUGAACAUAUCUUCAAAUAAUUUACAUCUACAAGGAAAAAAAAA
rnacentral:lncRNA from 1 species